rnacentral:misc_RNA from 1 species
UUCAAAUCGAGGUCCAUUAUAUCUUCUCUUGAGUUAUUUCCCAUUAGCAUCUACUCCGAAUCUUUCCUUUCAUUCUAACCUCACAACUAAAAACAAAUCUCAAAUUCAAGAAACCAAUCGAACCAUCGUUCCUCCUGCAAUCAGACGAAGAUUCGGGCAAUCUCAAGCCCUUCGAUCAAAGCCGCACUUCACCCAUCGGCAAAAAAAUGGCAAAUCUCUCAACAGAACUCUGCAGGUGGAUUCUCG